GGCUAUAAAAAUGGAAGUUUUCGUCAGCUGGCACAAACCGACCAGAGGUUAGAGCAGGAGAAGUAUCUUUACUGUCCUUCUGAUCGUAACCAAGAUGUUAAAGAACCUGUUUAUCCUGGGCUUGAUGAUCACUCCAAUCUUCGCCCAAGGUUGCGCCGGGGGUGGCGGUGCCGGUCAAGGCGGUGGCACCAACGGCUUUGGCUCCGGUUUUGGAGGAGGAUUUGGUUUCCUCUCCGGACCUGGUGGUUCCGCCGGCGGCGGCGGGGCCGGAGGUGGUAGUGGCGGUGGCACCAACGGUGGAUCUGGCUCCGGCUCUGGUGGGGGCUUUGGCUUUGGCUGUGUCGGUGGCAAGCGCUAAUGUCGCAAUCAAUGUUGAAAGUUUUCAGAGGAAAAGCACAACUGUCACUUAAUGUUGCCGAAAACACGUCUUCACAGCAAGGAUGGAAGAGUACAGACAUAUUAAGCUCUGCAUCGCCAUUACCUGAUCGUAGCAGAUCAACGCCUAUAAAGAUUUUGUGGCUUGGACUCUAAAAAAGAUCUUGUUUGAAAAGGAAGAUUUAUGGGAUGCGCCUUCUAUUGUAAUCAGUUUAACCAAAAUUAAAUCAGCUGUCACCAAGUAUUAUGCUUUGUUAAAUAAAUAUUUUACCGCAUAUCAAA